GAGUUUGAUCAUGGCUCAGAACGUACGCUGGCGGCACGCCUAACACAUGCAAGUCGAGCGGGGUAGCAAUACCUAGCGGCAGACGGGUGCGUAACAUGUGGGAAUCUGCCUUUUGGUUCGGAACAACAUGGGGAAACCUGUGCUAAUACCGGAUAAGUCCUAACGGAGAAAGUUUUAAUGCCAAAAGAUGAGCCCGCAUUUGAUUAGCUUGUUGGUGAGGUAAAAGCUCACCAAGGCUAUAAUCAAUAGCUGAUUUGAGAGGAUGAUCAGCCACAUUGGGACUGAGACACGGCCCAGACUCCUACGGGAGGCAGCAGUGGGGAAUAUUGGACAAUGGGCGCAAGCCUGAUCCAGCCAUACCGCGUGUGUGAAGAAGGCCUUCGGGUUGUAAAGCACUUUAAGCAGGGAGAAAAAGUUAUAAGUUAAUACCUUAUAACCCUGAUGUUACCUGCAGAAUAAGCACCGGCUAAUUCCGUGCCAGCAGCCGCGGUAAUACGGAAGGUGCAAGCGUUAAUCGGAAUUACUGGGCGUAAAGCGCGCGUAGGUGGUUUGUUAAGUUGGAUGUGAAAGCCCUGGGCUCAACCUAGGAACUGCAUCCAAAACUAACUCACUAGAGUACGAUAGAGGGAGGUAGAAUUCAUAGUGUAGCGGUGGAAUGCGUAGAUAUUAUGAAGAAUACCAGUGGCGAAGGCGGCCUCCUGGAUCUGUACUGACACUGAGGUGCGAAAGCGUGGGUAGCGAACAGGAUUAGAUACCCUGGUAGUCCACGCCGUAAACGAUGACAACUAGCUGUUAGGAGACUAUGUCUUUUAGUGGCGCAGCUAACGUUUUAAGUUGUCCGCCUGGGGAGUACGGCCGCAAGGCUAAAACUCAAAUGAAUUGACGGGGACCCGCACAAGCAGUGGAUCAUGUGGUUUAAUUCGAUGCAACGCGAAAAACCUUACCUACUCUUGACAUACUUGGAAGCUCUUGUAAUGAGAGUGUGCUUUUAAGAACCAAGAUACAGGUGCUGCAUGGCUGUCGUCAGCUCGUGUCGUGAGAUGUUCCGUUAAGUCGGAUAACGAGCGCAACCCUUACCCUUAUUUGCCAGCAAUUCGGUCGGGAACUAUAAGGGGACUGCCGGUGAUAAACCGGAGGAAGGUGAGGACGACGUCAAGUCAUCAUGGCCCUUACGAGUAGGGCUACACACGUGCUACAAUGGGAGAUACAGACGGACGCUAAGCCGCGAGGUGGUGCUAAUCCUAAAAAGUCUUUCGUAGUCCGGAUUGGAGUCUGCAACUCGACUCCAUGAAGUCGGAAUCGCUAGUAAUCGCGGAUCAGCAUGCCGCGGUGAAUACGUUCUCGGGUCUUGUACACACCGCCCGUCACACCAUGGAAGUGGAUUGCACCAGAAGUAGAUAGUCUAACCUUAGGGAGGGCGUUUACCACGGUGUGCUUCAUGACUGGGGUGAAGUCGUAACAAGGUAACC
rnacentral:rRNA from 1 species